GGAUGUAUAGCUCAGUGGUAGAGCAUUCGGCUGCAGAUUGAGAGAUCUCCGGUUCGAACCCGAGUAUCCC